rnacentral:lncRNA from 1 species
CUCUGGCUUAGUGAAAAUUAAGAUACUAAUAUCUUUUGCAGCACACAAAACACGGCCUAGUAUGGCGAAACACGUGAUAUAGAGCGUACCUUGCUAAGAUGUGGAUGUAUUUAUUCUCAUUAUUCCUGAAUGGGAACAUUAAAUGUAUUGCCUUAUGAAAGUAGUGUGCAACAUUCUGUAUGUUAAGAGGUAUGUACCAGUCCAAAACAC